rnacentral:lncRNA from 1 species
CUGAACCCUAAACCCUAAACCAAACCAAAACCAAAAACUUUCUCUCUCUACCUCCAAAACGCUCUCCCUUCUCUCUAGAAUGGGAGAAAACCUCCAAAACUCCAACAAACUUGAUCCACCACCAAAACCACCGGAUUGCAGCACUCUAAGUGGUGGAAAAUCAUCACCAACAACCACCCAAACAUCUCCUAUAACACCAAUAUCAGAUUCAUCCCCCAACUCAAUAGAUCUGAGUUUGAAAAAUCAUGGCACGAAUCCCAAGGUCAUCGAAACACCUCCUUACGCAUUGAAUCAGGGUCUGGGACCAUCACCAAUGAUUCCAGAAGGGCCGAAAACCCUAGGGGUGGUAGAGAUUUCAUCCGAAUCGCCCGAAAUUGACAGAUCGGAUCCCGAGGGGCC